GCUUCUAUAAACCUCAGCUGUUCUCUGUUGGUGUUAAGUGAUUGAUAUCAAGCAUAGAGGAUACCCCAGGAUCCAACUGUGAAGCAUAUGAGGAUGGAAAUUUGGUUCAGGCUGUCCGUGUGAAAGGAGAGCAUCCACAGGAAGAGAAGUUGCACAAUGUGAAAUCAGAUGUGCGUGGAUGCAAGAAAAGCUUUUGCACAGAGAGGCUGGAAUAUACUAUAUUUCUGGUACUGAAAACCUGCUUCACCAAGAGAAAAUCUCAGCAUAAGAUGAGCACUGAAAACACUUGACCUUAACCCCAAACUGGGUAUGAACUUUUUCCAGAUGCUGACAUUUAUAUGUUUAAACUGAGUGCCUCACAUCUGUGCAUUUUUUGCCUCUACUUUCAUGCGUUAAGAUUCUCAACGAGAUGAAGAGUAAAGUAAUGCAAAAGACAUAUAAGUGAUGUUUUUGGCUUGACUGAAGCAGCAGGUGGUUUUCUUCAGUCAAGAAAGCCUACUCAAGAGGACUGGGGAAAUACUCAAACUUUUUGGAACCAAACCUUGUCUUUUCUGAGUUUCACACGUUGUGAUAUCCAUCUGCCAUAUUGUUAACCUUUUGGAGUCAGAGCUUUUUGCAAAUUUAUGCAGGGAGAUGCUGAUGUUCCAGAUUUAUACUAGUUCCAUUUAGCUAACCUUCUGGGUGUCUCCCUACAUAAUGAUAUUAAAAAAAAUUAGGCAAUAUGCAUGUAUGUCUACCAUUAUUAAAAACUAAGAUUGACUGC
rnacentral:lncRNA from 7 species